GAUUGCAAGUUGCUGCUUUUAACUUAAACACCCAUUUGCUAAACAAGCAGACAGUGUGAACCAGCAACAGAGGGAGCCCAGUGACCGAGGGGUGGAGUCAAUGGAACUAAUUAACACCAAGGUACUCUCAUCAGUGUGAUCACUGGCCUUUAUAAGGCAUUUAUCUGUCUCCUGGUUUCUUUUCUAUGAUGCACAAGGCAGGUGUUGAAGUUCUGGUUUAUGCACUCCAGUGCACAGGUGUGAUAAGGGAUCUAAUUAGAAAAAAAAUACUAAAUGAUGCCAAAACUACUCCGUAGCUGUCACUCUUGAUUACUGUGUUGCUAAUUCUGCCUUUCUCGCCCCUGUGAGCAGGGCUGCCCUGGUGACUGCAGUGGGCUCGGGCACUGAUGGAGUUCAGCAAGGUCUUUUUGCUCAGGGUGAAUCAGGGAGCACUUGACAACCCAGAGCAUCUGCAAGAGCUCCUGAGGCUCCUCUGAUGAGCAGAGUGAUGCAGCCAGUCUGAACGAGUGCUGGAGCAAGAGGACUGUGGCCUGAAGGAAUCCUUUAAGAACUGCUUGACUGCGGAAAAUGAUGGUCCCUCUCCCAGAGAAUUUUAUGGCCUGAGGGUUUCUAUGCACUGUGCUACAAAAGAAACUGUUUUCAAACACAGCUGGACAGAAAUGACCACAUCUGCUCAAGUGUGCCCUUGUGCUAGUGCACAAAUGUGGAGAAAGAUAUUGCUGCAGUGAAAAUGCAAACCCAAUUAUCUGCUCAAAGAGAGCUCUGGAGCCAGCAAAACCAUCUUCUUUGUGUGUAACAGAAUCCAGAGCAAAGCCAUCUGCUGCUAAAGUGAUACUUAAACUCUCCCUUCUUGUCUUCCUGAAACAAACCACAGAUCCCCCAGUUUCCAAGUGCACUGAAUCCACCAGGCUGCAGGGAGGCUGCUGAGGAAUAAAACAAGCUCUGGAAUCCAAGGAGAGAUGAGCAGCAGUGAGCAGGGAGGAGGAAGGACCAGUAGUCAUGGGGAUGGAUUUUCCUCCACCGAGCAGUUUCCCUCCACCUUGUCAAACACCUUAUCUUGCAAUUUCAUUUUCAAUUAUUUAAUCUGUUCUGUAGUAUAAAUGUUUUCCCUAUGUUGGAUUUCAUAUAUAAAUAUCUGCAGAUGGCAUAUUGCUUUCUUAACUGAUAUGAUUGUACAUUAGCCUGCUUGGAAAGAGCGUGCACACCCUAUUAGGUGUGUCAUUGGCUUUAUUGCAAUUAAGAUAAUCAGAUUUUCACUUUAAAUUGAUAUUUUAGCUUAUACUCCACAGAUAUAAAAAUAUUCCUGAAAAGCAAGGUGUGACACAUUGCAUUAGCACACGGUGAAAAGGGGCUUUAUUUUUAUUAUUUUUUCCAGUAAAAGUCCAUACAUUUUGUAGUCACUUAUUUACAAAUAUUAGCAUUCAAUUCAGCAUUUCCCUAUUAAAUAUUUAGAGUGGACAUUUGUGGGAUGGGAAAGGAACUGUUUUUCUUAGGAUGUGCUCUCUGGUAAGUUGCUGAAUAAACUCUUGAAUUUGUACCUGGCUCCACUUAACCCCUAAUACCUCAAUCUGGUUUUUUUUUUGAGAGAAUGAUUUUUGAAAAGUAGUAGGAGGAGGGUUGGGAUGAGCAAUACUCAUGAAACUGCAGUUUGGAACUAAUUACCUGAAAAUAUUGUUGGUUGUCAUGCUGCUGUAUUUGCAGACACUAGGGGUGGGGUGGAGGGAACCUGUGUGAUCACCCAGGCAAACCUCCUGCUUCUCAUCUAUUUCUAUCUAUUCAUGGUGUGUUUGUCCAGCCUGUUUUUUAACCACCUGUAAUAAUCCUACGUUAGGUACUCAAGGGCCUAAUUUAGUGUUAGGAAGACUCCUUAACACCUCUCCCUAAAAUUUCCUUCCCUUUAGCCUAUUGCUUUUUAUUCUAGGUGUGCUCUGGCAAUUCUGACAUUUUUACCAAAAAUGCUACAAUCAAGCAACGUGAAUACACUUUUCUAAAGCAUUUCUAGAACUUGCUGGUUUUGAUUAUGUCAAAAAUACUAUAAAAACAAAGCUUUGCCAAAGUACUUCAGAAAUUCUGCUUCUCGUUGUACUGUAGCCCAAGGAAGUGAAUCAGGACUAGAACAUGCAGCGUGCCAGGCAGGCAUCAGAACAAGCCAUAAAAACGCAUUAUGUGUUUGUAAAGGGAAUAAGUCAACAAAAUUAAAAGAUGUUCUGAUUCUAUUUAAGAAUUUCAAAGGUCAGUUUGCUUAUUUACAUACAC